GAUGAACGCUGGCGGCGUGCCUUAAGCAUGCAAGUCGAACGAUUUCAGUAGCAAUAUUGUUUUAGUGGCAGACGGGUGAGUAAUAUAUAGGAAUCUACCUCAAUGUGGGGGAUAGCUCGCCGAAAGGCGGGGUAAUACCGCAUGUGAUCGCAAGAUCAAAGCCCUUAACCGGGCGCGUUGAGAGGAGCCUGUAUCCUAUCAGCUAGUUGGUGAGGUAAUGGCUCACCAAGGCUACGACGGGUAGGGGGUGUGAGAGCACGACCCCCCACAAGGACACUGAGACACGGGUCCUACACCUACGGGUGGCAGCAACUGGGAAUCUUGCGCAAUGGACGAAAGUCUGACGCAGCGACGCCGCGUGUGGGAAGAAGGCCUUCGGGUCGUAAACCACUGUGGAAAGGGAAUAAAAAAAUGAAGGUACCUUUCUAGAAAGCACCUGCUAACUACGUGCCAGAAGCCUCGGUAAUACGUAGGGUGCAAGCGUUAUCCGGAUUUAUUGGGCGUAAAGCGUUCUGUAGGCGGUUUUGUAAGUAUGUGGUUAAAGGCUUCGGCUCAACCGAAGACAUGCUGUGUAAACUACAAGACUAGAUGGUUAUCGGGAGUAUCGGAAUUCUCGGUGGAGGGGUGAAAUCCGUUGAUAUCGAGAGGAACACCAAAGGCGAAGGCAGAUACUUAGGUAACUCAUGACGCUGAUAGACGACAGCUAGGGGAGCGAAAGGGAUUAGAGACCCCUGUAGUCCUAGCCGUAAACGAUGGACACUAGCUGAUCGGAUUUUUCUGGUCGGCGUAAGCUAACGCGUUAAGUGUCCCGCCUGGGAAGUACGGCCGCAAGGCUA
rnacentral:rRNA from 1 species